rnacentral:lncRNA from 1 species
AGACCUUAUAUUUCUCGAAUAAAGCUUGAAUUUCAUCGACUUUGUCUUGGUCAAUAUGGGGAAACAAGAAAGGGAACAACCGGUCAUAUGGCACCACAGGUAUAGCAGGUAAACUUUCAUUGACGGUNNNNNNNNNNNNNNNNNNNNNNNNNNNNNNNNNNNNNNNNNNNNNNNNNNNNNNNNNNNNNNNNNNNNNNNNNNNNNNNNNNNNNNNNNNNNNNNNNNNNNNNNNNNNNNNNNNNNNNNNNNNNNNNAGUCUAAAACAUUUAAAACGUCCACAUAAUAAUUAAUAGAAUUCAAAUAAUGAUGCUUAGGGUUAGGGUAAAACGAAAAACACACACAAAAUGAAAUCUAAAGACAAUAAUAAACAUGAGCAUUGAAAUGUGUAGAACCAAAACAUAAAUUGAUAUCAAAUCCAAAAACAGAGAAGAAAUUAAACGCAGAUGACGUGAGGAUUAAGAAAUUAACUAUGGAUGUAGCGAGACUCAUGAUUAGAACUUCCUGUCAAGUUGUGGUGGCUGAAUUUAUCGAUGUAAAGAUAAACGGCGAGGUUUUUCACCUGCGUGUCAUCGAAGAUUUGUACGGACCUAUGAGGAUUAUGACAACUCAGAAACAAGGCCAGCAAGGAAGAUCUAUGGAUAAUGAUAGUUCGGAGGAUGAACGGAGAUUGAUGGCGGUGGUGGAUGAGCCAGAGAGAGAAUCGGAAGGCGAAAAUUUAUUAGCAUUAAACUCUAAUGUUAAUGUCCAUAAUAUUCCUAUUAAUGCUUAUAAAGUUGUGAAUACCUUUUUGUAAGCGUUUAACGUACCUGAGGAUAGGGAGGAAGGUUCAAAUCUUUCUAGUAAUUUUGUCCCUAUCCAAAAUUUAGAAAAUUUGAAUAAACAUGAUCAUUGAAAAACAAUAGCUACUGUAAGUUUGCCGUAUGUGUAGGCUAUUCCUCCUAAGCUACAAGAUUUUUUUUUAUUAAUAUUCAAAUUUAUUCUAGAAUUACUCUCCCCCUAUGUUGGUCUUAAAAAUGAUUUAGUUAUUAUGAAUAGAGAAGGAAAUCCCCCAAGUCUUGAAAUGAUGAUUUCUAUCAAUUGGCGAUUAAAAUGCAAGUCAAAACAAAAACAGGGAAUAUGACAAAUAACUAACAUACAUAAAUUUAAAACCAUACAUUGCUGAAGAUAGUACAAUUACGUCGUUAACUUGAUGUACCAUCAUAGUCUUUGGUCAUCUCGAGAUGUUCUUUAAAGUUUUUUGUUCUUAUAGUCCUCAUGCUUGCGGGGUUAAGGACUGUUAUAAUUUUAAAUCUCAAAUUAUUUUCUUAAGCAUUUUACUCUUACUGUCAUAAAAUAUUUCUAUCUUGAUUGAACACUACAAGAUAGUUUAAUAAUGUGAGUUCAAAAUGCGCUCUUCAAUGGGGAUUGGGGAUUCAGAAGAUAAAGGACUAGUGCACCAAGUAAGGAGUUUUCCCACCAAAAAUUCAAAUUCAAAUAGCAAGUGAAGAUGGGAGGGAACAAUUUUCAAAGAUUUUCACAGGACAAGUGUCCUACACGUGGCAAACAUGCAAAGUUCGAAAACAGUUACUCGAGUUUUCGAAUUUUCUUAUAAAUACAAUAAUCGUAGGCUGUUUUAGGAAGUUCCUUUCCAAUAGAGAAAACAUACCGCCUAAAAUAGAACCACAUUUUCACGCUAACAUACAAAAUGCAAAAAAAACUUCUCAUAUGGCUGUAAUUGAUGUAUGAAACUCAAUUUCUUUAUAAUGCAAUUUAACUUUUCUAGUUAUAGCAUUUUAGAUUGAUUUUACUCAAAAAGACGCUAAACAUUCUAGAAAUUCAAACCAAUCGUAAACCUAUCAACUGAAGAACCCAUUAAGGAUAUGAUCAAAAUCCUAAAUAAACCAAUUGUAAUCAGGACUUAAUUAAAAUGGUCAAGUUUAUUUUAUUCCAACAAACCUAUGGCACUUUUGCAGAAAUGAAUCCUCUCCAUUUAUUUUUCUCAUCUUUUACAAAUGUCCACAUGUGAUAUGUAACUCAAAGGCUUUAACAUAAAUGAAUCUGGUAAACAAGGAUGCAUAAUUUAGAAUUCAAUUAUGUAAGAUUAUUUGAAUAAUACAUAUGGUUAAUGAACUUCAAUAUCAAGUUCACAAAGUCAUGACAGAUACACCAAUCACCAAUCAGAUUCAUGAGCUUUGAAAUCCACAUUCUAAUAAAUUGCAUGACUAGACCACAUUUUCACAAAAUAAGUAGGAACAAAGAACAUGGUUCCAAAAGGAAGCUGACAAAAUCCAUCAACAUUUAACCAACUCACAACUUGCUAUAUUAAUAUCACACACAUACCAACACUUUAACAGGUCACACCCUGCCCAAACACAGGUAUUAUGAGAACAGUCUGUAGCAGCAUUCAUACUUCUAGAGAGAUGUGGCAGAAGAGCCUGUUUUGUUUCUUAUCUACAGGAAGAAAAAAAAUAGUAGUUCUUAGCAUAACCUUGAAAUCAAUACUAUUCAACUGCCUUAUAGAAAACAGCAACCAGUUCUUAACAUAAACCAUCUAUACCUACCUGUCUUAGCAGUAUGUCUCCUGCUAAUUUAAAAGCCGGCUUCCCCACAAUGCCUUUCAUAAGCGGUAUAACAUCAGACUUGGGUAUCUCACCUCUCUAGAACAAAUGACACAAAAAAGUUAGUAAUAUGGAAACGCUUUGCACCCACAAACUUAAAUAGUUUUUAGCACAGAAGUGAGGGAAAAAGAAAUAUUGGUGAUACUGUUUUGGGGCAACAGACCUUGUAUUUUUCACCUAAAACGUAAAGAUCAAUGGUUUUCUCUAUGCCAAUUUGGGGAGCCAAGAGAUGGAACAGCUGGUAAAAUGUCACCCCUGUGUCACUAGAAUUGAUUUGGGUUCCAGGUUGUUCAUUGACUUGUAGAUUGCUUUUCUACAAGGAAAAAAAAAACAGUUCUUAGCAUAACCAUGAAAUCAAUAUUCAACUGCCUUAUAGAAAAAUCAUGCAGCAACGCUGCAUAAACCAUCUACUCUAACUACCGGUUGUUUCACUUUUGCUGCUGCUGAUUUAAAUAUCUGCUCCCCCAAAAUGCCUGUCAUAACCGGUACAAAAGUAUCCUUAGGUAUUUCACCUCUCUAGAACAAAUUACACAAAAAAGUUAGUAAUAUGGCAAAGUCUUGCACCACAAAACUUAGAUAGCACUGAAGAGAGGAAAAAAGAAAUAUUGGGGCAACAGACCCUAUAUUGGUCGAAUAAAACUUUAAGUUCAAUGACUUUGUCUGGGUCAGUCAUAUAGGGUAGCAAGAAAGGAUACAGCUGGUCAAAUGGCAAAUCCAGGUCACUGGAAUCGAUCUGGGUUGUAAACUGUUCAUUGACUGGGACCUGACGAUUUUUAUUCUACAAGGAAAAAAAAUAAAGUUCUUAACAUAAACAUGAAAUGAAUAUUCAACUGCCUUAUAGAAAAAUCAUCAGCAACAGUGCAUAAAACAUCUACUCUACCUGUUGUUCGUGCAGUUGCAUCGUUGCUGAAUAAACCAACUGCAUCCCCACAAUGUCUGUCACACGCGCGAAAAACCUAGACUUGGGUAUUAUUUCAUCUCUCUAGAACAAAUGACACAAAAAAAGUUAGUAAUACAAUAAUGUAAUAUGGCAAAACCUUGCACUACAAACUUAAAUAAUUUUUAACACAGAAGAGAUGGAAAGAGAAAUGAUGGUAAAACCGGUUUGGGGGUAAGAGACCUUAUAUUUCUCGAAUAAAGCUUGAAUUUCAUCGACUUUGUCUUGGUCAAUAUGGGGAAACAAGAAAGGGAACAACCGGUCAUAUGGCACCACAGGUAUAGCAGGAAAACUUUCAUUGACGGUGUCUGUCGUCUGCUGCGCUGUAGAUGGGUCCAUAGUCUUCUAAACCAACUGCAGUCGCAGAUAUUAACAUAAAAGAAGCAUCUGAAGUUAAAUGUUGGCAUCAAUAUAUGCAUUUGGUUAAAGGCAUGAAUUCAUCUCAGCAUCAUUUGUUCAAAGUCUAAAACCUAUAAGCACGACAAGGACAGACACACACUGGCACAUCGAUACCGAUAAUAAUUUGAAAAAACGACAUGAUUAAAUGUAAUCAUAAGUGUCGGUGUUCGAAGACACAUGUUUGACAUCGGGGAAAGCCUAAUCCAAGAGUGUAAGUGCGCUUCGUAGUCUAAAACAUUUAAAACGUCCACAUAAUUAUUAAUAGAAUUCAAAUAAUGAUGGUUAGGGUUAGGGUAAAACGAAAAACGAAAAACGAAAAACACACACAAAAUGAAAUCAAUAGUCAAAAUCGAAAGACAAUAAUAAACAUGAGCAUUGAAAUGUGUAGAACCAAAACAUAAAUUGAUAUCAAAUCCAAAAACAGAGAAGAAAUUGAAGGCAUGAAAAAAUAUAGGAAAAGAACGAACGAAGUCACUCACAUAAAUUGAUAAGCCGAACGCGAUAAGGACCUU